rnacentral:rRNA from 1 species
UGGGGAAUUUUGGACAAUGGGCGAAAGCCUGAUCCAGCAAUGCCGCGUGUGUGAAGAAGGCCUUCGGGUUGUAAAGCACUUUUGUCCGGAAAGAAAUCCUUGGCUCUAAUACAGUCGGGGGAUGACGGUACCGGAAGAAUAAGCACCGGCUAACUACGUGCCAGCAGCCGCGGUAAUACGUAGGGUGCAAGCGUUAAUCGGAAUUACUGGGCGUAAAGCGUGCGCAGGCGGUUUGCUAAGACCGAUGUGAAAUCCCCGGGCUCAACCUGGGAACUGCAUUGGUGACUGGCAGGCUAGAGUAUGGCAGAGGGGGGUAGAAUUCCACGUGUAGCAGUGAAAUGCGUAGAGAUGUGGAGGAAUACCGAUGGCGAAGGCAGCCCCCCUGGGGCCAAUACUGACGCUCAUGCACGAAAGCGUGGGGAGCAAACAGGAUUAGAUACCCUGGUAGUCCACGCCCUAAACGAUGUCAACUAGUUGUUGGGGAUUCAUUUCCUAGUAACGUAGCUAACGCGUGAAGUUGACCGCCUGGGGAGUACGGUCGCAAGAUUAAAACUCAAAGGAAUUGACGGGGUCAUAGCUGUUUCCU